UUUUGGUUAAUUGAAAUUUCAAUAUUAAUAUUAAACCCAGUAGUUCAUUUAUAAUAGUGUCGUCCCUAUAAGUAAAAUCCUAUAUCAAAUAUCUUGUCAAUUUUUUUCUGCUGCCAUGAUUGGUCAUAAUUGUAGCUGGUCUAGUGGAGCUGAAGCUGCUGAACUGUAGUUUUGGAGAAAGAACCACCUUUUCCUCAUUCUUGAUCCAAUGAUGACAUGGUAUCAUGUGAUUCUUCCUUUCCCUGCUUGUUAUUUACCAUUGUAUCAUGAUAUCAUUAAAGGGAAUAGGCCUUUUUAUAGGGCAGAUGACUAGAUAUUUGUUACUCUUUUUCUUUUUUGGGUGCCAGUUUAACAAAGCCAGUGGGUAAUUAAACAGGGAAAAAGAGGUAUUGAAACAUUCUCAUCAGAUCAGAUGGCUUAUUUGGCAGAUGGAAAUUAGUGUUCUUUGAAUUAUUAUGUAGCUUUGCGGACAAAGAAUGGUUAAUACGAAUAUCCUGUGGGUUUGUAUUCUAUGCUAAUUAACAAUAAUCUGCCUAUGGUCACAACAAACUGUUUUAUCACAUUUUUCAUUAUGGUGCUUCACCCUCCACAGGAGAACAAUUUGGCCUUUUGCCUUUGCCCUUAUGACAUCAUAAUGGAAUGGAUACUAUCAAGAUU
rnacentral:misc_RNA from 1 species